UCGGGUAGAGGGAAAAGGAGCAAUCCGCUUUGAGAUGGCCUCGCGUCCGAUUAGCUAGUUGGUGAGGUAAUGGCCCACCAAGGCGACGAUCGGUAGCCGGACUGAGAGGUUGAACGGCCACAUUGGGACUGAGACACGGCCCAGACUCCUACGGGAGGCAGCAGUGGGGAAUAUUGCACAAUGGGGGAAACCCUGAUGCAGCGACGCCGCGUGGAGGAAGAAGGUCUUCGGAUUGUAAACUCCUGUUGUUGAGGAAGAUAAUGACGGUACUCAACAAGGAAGUGACGGCUAACUACGUGCCAGCAGCCGCGGUAAAACGUAGGUCACAAGCGUUGUCCGGAAUUACUGGGUGUAAAGGGAGCGCAGGCGGGAAGGCAAGUUGGAAGUGAAAUCCAUGGGCUCAACCCAUGAACUGCUUUCAAAACUGUUUUUCUUGAGUAGUGCAGAGGUAGGCGGAAUUCCCGGUGUAGCGGUGGAAUGCGUAGAUAUCGGGAGGAACACCAGUGGCGAAGGCGGCCUACUGGGCACCAACUGACGCUGAGGCUUGAAAGUGUGGGUAGCAAACAGGAUUAGAUGCCCUGGUAGUCCACACUGUAAACGAUGAUUACUAGGUGUUGGAGGAUUGACCCCUUCAGUGCCGCAGUUAACACAAUAAGUAAUCCACCUGGGGAGUACGACCGCAAGGUUGAAACUCAAAGGAAUUGACGGGGGCCCGCACAAGCAGUGGAGUAUGUGGUUUAAUUCGACGCAACGCGAAGAACCUUACCAAGUCUUGACAUCCUGCGACGGUGCUGGAAACAGUACUUUCCUUCGGGACGCAGAGACAGGUGGUGCAUGGUUGUCGUCAGCUCGUGUCGUGAGAUGUUGGGUUAAGUCCCGCAACGAGCGCAACCCUUAUGGUCAGUUACUACGCAAGAGGACUCUGGCCAGACUGCCGUUGACAAAACGGAGGAAGGUGGGGAUGACGUCAAAUCAUCAUGCCCUUUAUGACUUGGGCUACACACGUACUACAAUGGCGUUAAACAAAGAGAAGCAAGACCGCGAGGUGGAGCAAAACUCAGAAACAACGUCCCAGUUCGGACUGCAGGCUGCAACUCGCCUGCACGAAGUCGGAAUUGCUAGUAAUCGCAGAUCAGCAUGCUGCGGUGAAUACGUUCCCGGGCCUUGUACACACCGCCCGUCACACCAUGAGAGCCGGGGGGACCCGAAGUCGGUAGUCUAACCGCAAGGAGGACGCCGCCGAAGGUAAAACUGGUGAUUGGGGUGAAGUCGUAACAAGGUA
rnacentral:rRNA from 1 species